rnacentral:rRNA from 1 species
CCUACGGGUGGCAGCAGUGAGGAAUAUAGGUCAAUGGGCGCGAGCCUGAACCAGCCAAGUCGCGUGAGGGAAGACGGUCCUAUGGAUUGUAAACCUCUUUUGUCGGGGAGCAAAAGACGCCACGCGUGGCGUUCCGCGAGUACCCGACGAAAAAGCAUCGGAUAACUCCGUGCCAGCAGCCGCGGUAAUACGGAGGAUGCGAGCGUUAUCCGGAUUUAUUGGGUUUAAAGGGUGCGCAGGCGGAAGAUCAAGUCAGCGGUAAAAUUGAGAGGCUCAACCUCUUCGAGCCGUUGAAACUGGUUUUCUUGAGUGAGUGAGAAGUAUGCGGAAUGCGUGGUGUAGCGGUGAAAUGCAUAGAUAUCACGCAGAACUCCGAUUGCGAAGGCAGCAUACCGGCGCUCAACUGACGCUCAUGCACGAAAGUGUGGGUAUCGAACAGGAUUAGAUACCCGGGUAGUC